GUCAUGUUGUUUAAUAAAACCUUUCAAUAACCAUCUUUCUGAAUCCAUUUUAAAAACAAUGUUUAUUCAGUGUUAUUAUUCUUUAAUACAUGAAUACACUGAUGUAUACAAUUAAACAUUUACUGGAAAAAAUAAUUUGUAGAAAUAUUAGAAUAAUCACCUACUGAAGCUACAGGAGUUUUAGCAUCACUGUCAACCAUUAGCAAGGAAUUUCACUCCCAUCAGCAAACAAAUGUAAUUGAGUUCAUACAGAUUUCAUUUGUUUCAAUUAUGUGACAAUUGAAAUCACCAAACCAACAUGAAGCUCUACGGAGGAGUUUGAUAAACGCUUUAAUGUUUUGUACUUUGGAAAGAACCUUUUGGGACAGAACUUUAUCAGAGAAUAUUCUGGAUUUGCUGCUAAAACCUGUUUUAUCUUCUCCAACAGUUUCUGAUGUGUGUCACUGUAAACUAUCAGGAUGUCUGCUAAGAUAAAUAACACCUUUAACCUUCCAGUCCAUCUCCUUGUAUUAUAGCUUCUUACGGAAUAUGAUUGUGAUAUUUAGGAUAGUUCAUCAUUCAAAAACAGAAAAUAAAGGAACAAUACACACAAACUAAGAACCAUUAGUUUAAUUAGUGUAAGACAGCAUUUCACAUGAGAAAGUGGGCUUUUUUUCCUGGUUGAAACAAUGCUAAUCGUGAGUUCCAUAGUUUACAAAAGGAGUAAAUUUGCUUCUAUGUUUGCAGAGAAGCCAUCAUACGCUGAGCUGAGUAGCAACAUUUACAUUUUUAAAUUCAACAGAAGUUUUGUUAUACUUAGGCUGCUGCAAGAAUUUACAAGUUAAAUGCAUGUUUACCAGCCUUUUCAACUUUAAGGCUCAUGAACCACAAGCUGAUUGUGCAAAAAUGGAUGCUGAUUGUACACUUAAAGUUAUAAUAAGCAAGUUUUAUUGGAAAUUAAGUCAUCCCCAGAGCUAGGCACCUGCCUCACUUGCCAACUGGAUUACACGGCACCUGACCUUAAUUACAAACCUGCUCAAUCAGGAUAAGACCAGAUGGAUAGACAGGGAGAGGGAUAUGGAUGGAAUAUUACAUAUGAUGUUUGUGGUUAUUUUGCAUGUCUUCUGCCAUUUAUUCAAUGUUUGUUUUCUCAGCUGUAAUUUUAUGGUUCUUUAUGGUUCUUAAGAACCAUAAAAUUAUUACAGCAAUAUUUUCGAACAUCAGAUUUCUUACUACCUUAUAAUAAAUUCUUUAUUCUAGAAUCCUUUUUCUUCCUCUAGUCUAGUCCAAUUAAAUUAAUGCCAAAAGUUGAUUUGGAAUCUCUAUUAGAAAUAGCAGCCCAUGAACUAACAUUUAUAUUUUAACAAAACUUGCCACUUGUAAGCAAAUAAAUAAUUCCUUCAAAUAGACUGUACAACAUAAUGUUAUGCUUGACAAAUUAUUUACUUCACAUUAUAUAACAAAGCAAUAGCACUUAGUAAGUUUUUUGUUUUUUUUGUUCCAGGAAAUUAUAAUGUAAAAUAUAGCAUUCAUUAAGGUUGCUGUUCAUUUUGUCUUGACUUGGUUUUCUGAAUAUAAUGGCAUGUCAGUUUUGGUCGACUUUAAGACAUGGGACAAAAGAAAUUGGUGAUUAUAUGAAGAAAUGAAUUUGAAGUCCUAUAAAGUUACAAUGUACCUAAAGUGUGACCCAAGCAGCAGAGCUGACUGAACUCAUGUCAUGUACUUAAGACUAUGAUCUUACAUGAAAAUGUAUGAAUGGCACUCCUGGAUUGGCUGGUUUACAUAUACAAUGCAGUAUUGUGUUAGGUAGCAUUGCCCACAGGUAUUUUAGGUUCCAAAGUUACAUUUUAAAAAAUCUUCAAAUUGCUGGGUUUCAGAUGACGUUUCACUGAUUGUCACCCAAUGCAGAUGGAGGGCAGGAAGUAAAUGCAGCCCAUUUAUUUCUGUUGAUCCAGCAUCAACAUUUGUAAAGUCUGUGUCCUGACUUUAGACAUUAUCGUUCUCUCUCUAGUAGAGAGAAAGAUAAACAUUAUUUUUGUGUUCUAAAGGUAGUUGGUCACAAGGGAGUUAAUUUAAAAAAAAUUUCAAAAAAAGAGGAGAAAAGUGCAUCAACAAUAUACAUCUAAUAACAGGAGGUGCAGAAACUAACAAUGCCAGAGUUUGCAGCGUCACUUUUUAACAGGUAAUGAUCGCAAUCUUUAAAUUGGUUUUUCAGAUGUUUUAUUGGACAGUUACUUAGAAAGCCAAGCAUUCAUAUGUAAGGUAAGAUAUAUUAUUUUUAUGCCCUGGCGUGGUUGUCCUCAGAGUGCUAAUGUUGUUAGCAGCUAGCUCAGUGCCGAGUCCCGGACAGAAAAUAUAAUGUUUAUUCAGUGGGACUUUCAUGGUA